rnacentral:tRNA from 1 species
ACAUUAGCUUUGGGUGCUGGUAGUGGAGCUGUUSCUUCUUCCUUG